rnacentral:rRNA from 1 species
UAGGCUUGACAUCCCAAGAAGACGGUAGAGAUACCGUUGUGUCUGCUUGCAGAAACUUGGUGACAGGUGCUGCACGGCUGUCGUCAGCUCGUGUCGUGAGAUGUUGGGUUAAGUCCCGCAACGAGCGCAACCCCUGUUUUUAGUUGCUAGCAGUUAGGCUGAGCACUCUAAGAAGACUGCCUGGGUAACCAGGAGGAAGGUGGGGACGACGUCAAGUCAUCAUGGCCCUUAUGCCUAGGGCGACACACGUGCUACAAUGGUUAGGACAAUGAGACGCAAUACCGCGAGGUGGAGCAAAUCUAUAAACCUAAUCUCAGUUCGGAUUGAAGUCUGCAACUCGACUUCAUGAAGCUGGAAUCACUAGUAAUCGUAGAUCAGCUAUGCUACGGUGAAUACGUUCCCGGGUCU